rnacentral:rRNA from 1 species
AACGAACGCUGGCGGCAUGCCUAACACAUGCAAGUCGAACGAGACCUUCGGGUCUAGUGGCGCACGGGUGCGUAACGCGUGGAAACCUGCCCUUAGGUUCGGAAUAACUCCCCGAAAGGGGUGCUAAUACCGGAUAAUGUCUUCGGACCAAAGAUUUAUCGCCUUUGGAUGGGCCCGCGUUGGAUUAGCUAGUUGGUAGGGUAAAAGCCUACCAAGGCGACGAUCCAUAGCUGGUCUGAGAGGAUGAUCAGCCACACUGGGACUGAGACACGGCCCAGACUCCUACGGGAGGCAGCAGUGGGGAAUAUUGGACAAUGGGCGAAAGCCUGAUCCAGCAAUGCCGCGUGAGUGAUGAAGGCCUUAGGGUUGUAAAGCUCUUUUACCCGGGAUGAUAAUGACGGUACCGGGAGAAUAAGCGCCGGCUAACUCCGUG